rnacentral:lncRNA from 1 species
UGAUUCAAACCAGGAGUCGAGUGAUGGUUCAAACCACGAGUUUGACAAUGGUUCAAACCAUGAGUCGAGCUGUGGUUCAAACCAAGAGUCAAUCGACGUUUCAAACCUGGAGUCAUGAUUCAAACCAGGAGUCGAGUGAUGGUUCAAACCACGAGUUUGACAAUGGUUCAAACCAUGAGUCGAGCUGUGGUUCAAACCAAGAGUCAAUCGACGUUUCAAACCUGGAGUCA